AACGCGAAGAACCUUACCCAGGCUUGACAUGCAGUGGAAGUUAGUAGAGAUAUUAACGCCCUUCGGGGCCGCUGCACAGGUGCUGCAUGGCUGUCGUCAGCUCGUGCCGUGAGGUGUUGGGUUAAGUCCCGCAACGAGCGCAACCCUUAUCGUUAGUUGCCAACAGGUAAUGCUGGGAACUCUAGCGAGACUGCCUGGGUUAACCAGGAGGAAGGUGAGGAUGACGUCAAGUCCGCAUGGCCCUUAUGUCUGGGGCUACACACGUGCUACAAUGGUCGGUACAGAAGGCAGCGAAACCGUGAGGUGAAGCAAAUCCCAAAAAACCGGCCCCAGUUCAGAUUGUAGUCUGCAACUCGACUACAUGAAGAUGGAAUUGCUAGUAAUGGCAGGUCAGCAACACUGCCGUGAAUACGUUCCCGGGCCUUGUACACACCGCUCGUC
rnacentral:rRNA from 1 species